UUUAAUAGUCGAACAGACUAGCUUACACAGCUACUACACUAGGCAGCACCUUUAAUUCAACAUCGAGGUCACAAGAUCUUUUAUCAAUUAGGCCUCUUUAAAAGCAUUGUGCUGUUAUCCCUGAGGUAACUACUCUUUAACUUGCUAAAGACCUUAGUAUUAGCUAUUCAAUUGGGUUGUUAAUCAGAUCCGUUAAUUUACCGCCCCAGUUUGACGCAAUAGCAACAAAUACUCAAAUUGUUUGAGUCUAAGCUCAUGCCUACAUCAGCUCUGCAGGGUCUUAUCUUCCCGUUGAUAGGACUUGGAGUUUUAAUCAAGGCCUUAAGUUAUCCCGACAUGGGUUUACAUAGUCGUCUUUCAUGAACCCCUUCAUUCUAGACCCCAAUUAAGAGCCAAAUUAUUAUGCUACCUUUGCACAGUCAAGG
rnacentral:rRNA from 1 species